rnacentral:tmRNA from 1 species
GGGGGCGUAAAGGUUUCGACGGGGAUUAUGAAUGAAGAAGAGCGAGUAGCGGCGGGCACCGCUUAAAAAGCCUAAACUUAAAUAUAAAAGCUAACGAUAAUAUAGCUUACGCUGCCUAAUUAAAGGCGGCCGUUCUGUCCGAGCAGACCGCGGCACGGAUAAGGGCGUCAUUCUGCGGUGAACAUGAGCGGUCAAAGCUUUGAGACCGCCACGACCUAUGAAGCUACCGAUAUGCACAGCCUGUCUGUGAGCUGUGCAUUGGGGGAAUCCCAAUCACAGACUGCACUCGGAGAGCUUCUUUUGGAUUGAUUUUCGGACAGGAGUUCGAUUCUCCUCGCCUCCACCA